rnacentral:tRNA from 1 species
GGUCUAUUAGUCUAGUUGGUUAGGACGUCGGAUUCUGAUUAAGACCCAGAACCUUCCGUAAGCCCAGGUUCGAAUCCUGGAUGGACCU